rnacentral:rRNA from 1 species
UUCCGGUUGAUCCUGCCGGACCUGACUGCUAUCGGAUUGAUACUAAGCCAUGCGAGUCUUUGUAGUAAUACAAGGCAGACGGCUCAGUAACACGUAGUCAACCUACCCUAUGGACGAGAAUAAUCUCGGGAAACUGAGCAUAAUUCUUGAUAGAUCAUAAUGCCUGGAAUGGUUUAUGGUUAAAAUGAUUCGUCGCCAUAGGAUGGGACUGCGGCCUAUCAGCUUGUUGGUGAGGUAAUGGCCCACCAAGGCGAUUACAGGUACGGGCUCUGAGAGGAGAAGCCCGGAGAUGGGUACUGAGACACGGACCCAGGCCCUAUGGGGCGCAGCAGGCGAGAAAACUUUGCAAUGUGCGAAAGCACGACAAGGUUAAUCCGAGUGAUUUCUGCUAAAGAAAUCUUUUGCCAGUCGUAAAACCGCUGGUGAAUAAGGGGUGGGCAAGUUCUGGUGUCAGCCGCCGCGGUAAAACCAGCACCUCAAGUGGUCAGGAUGAUUAUUGGGCCUAAAGCAUCCGUAGCCGGCUUUGUAAGUUUUCGGUUAAAUCCAUGUGCUCAACGCAUGGGCUGCCGAAAAUACUGCAUAGCUAGGGAGUGGGAGAGGUAGACGGUACUCAGUAGGUAGGGGUAAAAUCCUUUGAUCUAUUGAUGACCACCUGUGGCGAAGGCGGUCUACCAGAACACGUUCGACGGUGAGGGAUGAAAGCUGGGGGAGCAAACCGGAUUAGAUACCCGGGUAGUCCCAGCUGUAAACGAUGCAGACUCGAUGAUGCAUUGGCAUAAUAGCCAUUGCAGUGUCGCAGGGAAGCCGUUAAGUCUGCCGCCUGGGAAGUACGUACGCAAGUAUGAAACUUAAAGGAAUUGGCGGGGGAGCACCACAAGGGGUGAAGCCUGCGGUUCAAUUGGAGUCAACGCCGGG